UACAGAGGUGGCAAGCGUUGUUCGGAUUUACUGGGCGUAAAGGGCUCGUAGGUGGCCAAUUAAGUCGGACGUGAAAUCCCCAGGCUCAACUUGGGAACUGCGUCUGAUACUGGUUGGCUUGAAUUCGGGAGAGGGAUGCAGAAUUCCAGGUGUAGCGGUGAAAUGCGUAGAUAUCUGGAGGAAUACCGGUGGCGAAGGCGGCAUCCUGGACCGAGAUUGACGCUGAGGAGCGAAAGCCAGGGGAGCAAACGGG
rnacentral:rRNA from 1 species